rnacentral:lncRNA from 1 species
GAAGCAAGAAUGCAGGGUGAAUGCUGCUGGGUGAGUGUUUUAGUUUCACUCAUUUUUCAGAUUAGAGACGCUCGUAGCUUGACUGGCUUGGGAUCCCCAGCCCUGAGGACGUGCAACUCUCGGGGUCACGGGACACCUGCAGCCCACAGAGACAUGGUGUCAUCCCCAAGGCCAGGGCAAAGGACCCCUUCAUCAGGAUGUUGGAUCAAGAAGCCCAGGCAUUGGUUCCACGGAAACGUUACCUGGUGACACAUGGUGCUGCUUGGGUCUUUUGGGAGGAUCAUUUAAAGCAUAGGAUGUCACCCCACCUGGCCACGGGGGCCAGGGCUACAAACCUGACUGCAGGUCCAGGCUGCUGACCAGAAAACAGAGUGGACAGGACCAACAACUCCAGAGUGGGGCCCAUGCAAACAAGACAAAUCCGCCAGCUCUGAACCGGUAGUGUGCCCAGCAUUGUCAUAGAAAAAACCCCGGUAUGCACACAUGUACAUCUGCCUCUGUGUGCGUGAGGCCUUCCGACUUUUAAGCGCUAGAAUGAAUUCAGAUUCCUGGAAGGUGCUCUGAAGAGCUGAGCAGGGCUCCGUGGUUGACCAGAUGGCCGCCUCUCAGAUUCCUUCUACCCUCCCUCCCUUCUCUCUCAGCCCCCGCCCCCCCCACCCCUCCCCCGCUGGCCCUCUGUAGGAGGCACAGCAGCUUCCCUUCCUCCCCACCCCACCCUGUGUCUGUCCUGCCUUCCCUCCCUCAGCAUCACUCUGCUGUCCCUCAGGUCGCUCUCCCAGCCUGGCUCUGGGGUUGCCUGGUCCCCUCUCUGACCCACGCUGCUCAUGGAGACAGACUCCUUGCUCCUCUGGCUCGGUCAGCACGAGCCAGACUGUGUCCAGUUCCUGGGUCCAUGGAAACCUGGCUCCCUCCAGACAUCAGUUUGGCAUCCUGGUGCCCACAUGAAUCAGGUCCCAGCUCAGGCACCCCGGCUGACCAAGGAAUCCCUGCAGGGCUGUGGAGGGUAUGAUGCAAUGCAAGUUUGGCAGGCAGUAGCUACACACACACACACACACACACACACACCCCACUCUCUUGCCCAAUCAUACAGCCCCUGGGUACCUAAGCAAUUGAGUCCAGUUUAGUGCAGGUCAGACCUCAGGUGGCAAUAAGGGGGCAGGGGAGAUAACUUGGGAACAUCCAGAAGGUGAUGGGCAGUUUUGUGCCCAUACCUGGGCCAGUGAGUGAGUGUGUGUGCUCCCCUAGGUACAGAAGCAUGCAUACAAGGGUGGGUUAAUUUAGAAGGGGUUCUCCCCCUCCCCAACCCCACAGAUUGGCCAGGAUCCCAGAACGCCACACCCACCUGUGUGUGAUGUCUGCAGGGUGAAUGAUGUCCCCUCAGAUAAGGCACCAUGUGCAGUGCACAACCUGAACACCCUUACAAGCUCACCCUGGGUUAUGAGUACAGACUCGGAUGACAGACUCCUUGGGCUUGAACCUGGACUCUGCUACUUAUUAGCUUGGAAGAGUGCAUUGCAUCAAUUAACCCUUCAACAUGUUUAGCUGUUAUUAUUAUGAAGCUAUGAAAGUGGGUGAAUCCUGGCUGCCUGUGGCCCUGAAUAUACUCAGCAUUGCCGCUCUUGGCUAAAAAGAUGGGCCUGAGGUCCUUGCAAUGCAGAGUUCAGGGCUGGAUGGGAGGCCAGCCUUGAACAAUUUCUUUUAUUUUCUUUCAUUCUUUCUUUUUUUUUUUUU